UUAAAUUGAAGAGUUUGAUCAUGGCUCAGAUUGAACGCUGGCGGCAGGCCUAACACAUGCAAGUCGAACGGUAACAGGAAGCAGCUUGCUGCUUUGCUGACGAGUGGCGGACGGGUGAGUAAUGUCUGG
rnacentral:rRNA from 9 species